CAUUCCCAAAUAUUCCUCCGGUGAAUCCUCGCGGCUCGGAACUCGCGAGAUUCCGAGAACCAAUUCGCAAAAGUCCCGACGAGCGUUGUUUCCCGUUUUAUCAGAACGAAUUUCAGAAUUCGCGGAGUGUCGAGGAGCGUGUUUCUCUUCGAUGAUGCGAGCGUUCGUCAUUUAAGAGACCCACGAGCUUCCCACGGGGAAGUGUAAAAGCGAGAGGUUUUGUUCCGCUCGUCCUCUUUGGAUUCGGAACGACGCUCAAGAUCCUUCUCGAUCAUCGCUUGCCGAUUUAAUCGACGUGUGUAGCACGUAGUUCGAGAUUUCGCGGAAUGAGACUCGCGGCAUGACGCGGUCCGAGAUCGCGAAGACAACGGGGGAACGCUAGCUGCGAGACGUCCGAUUUUCCACGCAGGCGGAGUUCGUCGCGGGAAUACCCCGUAUCGGGGUAUUCGCGGGAAAACGCGAUAAGGCAGCGCGAUAAAGCGCGAGGAUCAGCCGCGAGAGCCGACGGGAUUUUACGCGGCGGGAAAUCCCCGCGCGCGGAGAGAGUGAAAGACGAAGCGAAUGAGAGGGAAAGUCGAGGGUGUGCGGGAAGCGUGCGAGCGAGAAGCUGUCCCGCUGUUUCUCGCUUCGCAAGGGAAUCGAUCGCGGUUAAUUAGCCGGGCUGACGCGGGCUGGAGGCGAAGAUGCGCGGUUACGCACGUACAAGGCGGUUUCGAUCUGUGAUCUUUUAAAUAAUCGCGCGAGGAUCGUUUGGCAGGGCGCCAUUGAUCGGACGAUCGACGGAGAAAGGAUUCGGACGGCUGGAGGACUCUCGAAUAUAGUCCGUUCGUGUCGCAGCUCUGCAAUGGGCCACGGGAUCUAUUCCUCUGAGUUCCCGCUGGAUCCCGGAAUGGAUCGAUGCUGUUAUCAUGACGGGAGAGUUUCGUCGAGGCGUGGCGAUUAUUGUUUAGAUGGAUCGCGCGACAAAUACACUCUCGGUGCGCGUGUUAUUGACUUCAAAUUCGUCAAUUGUCGUGGAGCCCAACCACUAGCCCUCACGACACGACUGCUCUUAUCUCGAGUCCGAGGACGCGGACGAGGAAGGACAAGAGUAGCGAAGCGCAGUCGCGUCUCGUCGUCGUCCUCGAACUGGGUCGUCGUCGCUUUGAAAUUCAAAACAAGACCACGCCGAUACGCCGGUGCCAUCUCGGAUUUAAAACCGGGGACUCGCCGUUAUCGCGCUUGUUAGACUCGGUGAAAUUAAAUCCGUUUAUCGAGUCGGAAAUUCCGUCUGGAAAAGAAGGACGGUAGGAAGGCGAGACAAAAGAAAUAUCCCGGAAGACGGAAGACGAAGGUGAAGGGGGAAGAGUCGCGUGUCUUUGUAUCGGGGAAGGGAGGAUUAUUACAUAAAGUAGGCGGAAGGAGGAAGAAACCGGAAAUUCAACGGAGUCCUAGUUUAGAGAGGAAGUUUUUCUCGAUGGCCACGACGACGUUGAGGCCAACGACGAGGACGCCGAGACUGGAAACGACGCCGAGCGAGCCUUCCGGUACCUGAGAGAGAGAGAGAGAGAGAGAGAGAGA
rnacentral:misc_RNA from 1 species